GACGAACGCUGGCGGCGUGCCUAAUACAUGCAAGUUGAGCGCUGAAGGUUGGUACUUGUACCGACUGGAUGAGCAGCGAACGGGUGAGUAACGCGUGGGGAAUCUGCCUUUGAGCGGGGGACAACAUUUGGAAACGAAUGCUAAUACUGCAUAAAAACUUUAAACACAAGUUUUAAGUUUGAAAGAUGCAAUUGCAUCACUCAAAGAUGAUCCCGCGUUGUAUUAGCUAGUUGGUGAGGUAAAGGCUCACCAAGGCGAUGAUACAUAGCCGACCUGAGAGGGUGAUCGGCCACAUUGGGACUGAGACACGGCCCAAACUCCUACGGGAGGCAGCAGUAGGGAAUCUUCGGCAAUGGACGAAAGUCUGACCGAGCAACGCCGCGUGAGUGAAGAAGGUUUUCGGAUCGUAAAACUCUGUUGGUAGAGAAGAACGUUGGUGAGAGUGGAAAGCUCAUCAAGUGACGGUAACUACCCAGAAAGGGACGGCUAACUACGUG
rnacentral:rRNA from 1 species